rnacentral:rRNA from 1 species
GACGUAGGGUGCGAGCGUUGUCCGGAUUUAUUGGGCGUAAAGAGCUCGUAGGCGGCUCGUCGCGUCGACCGUGAAAACCCGCGGCUUAACCGCGGGCUUGCGGUUGAUACGGGCGGGCUAGAGUUCGGUAGGGGAGACUGGAAUUCCUGGUGUAGCGGUGAAAUGCGCAGAUAUCAGGAGGAACACCGGUGGCGAAGGCGGGGCUCUGGGCCAUGCCUGACGCUGAGACGCGAAAGCUAGGGGAGCGAACAGG